CACUCAAAAUGGAGCACAGGCUGGAUUUUUCCCCAUGGUUGUGAAGGCAGCUCCAUUUUGAAGAAGGAAGUUCAGUAAUUGCUGCCUGACAGACCUCCCUGUCAACUCUCUGGAUUAUCAGUGCUGGAUUGUUUGCUGGGAAAACAUCUAAAGUCAACAGAGGGAGGUACUGGAAAUAGCAUUCAGAUGGGCAGGGGAUAUCUAGUGGUCAGAUGGAAGCACAUGAAAGAGUCGUGCUGAAGCUGGGUAAGGAACCAUUUAACAGCUGUGUAACUGUGCCUUUUUUUUGGCUAUCAGAGUUUCCCUGGAGAUUUGGCCUGCUAGCCAGCAGUCAGCUUGCCUGCUGCUGGUAGAUGCAAAGGUUUUUCUGUUGACUUACCCUUGGCUUAGGCGUGAAAACCUUGCCUUGAGGUUGAGGAUAAAAUACUACUGCAUAGCAGAGACAUGUGGGUCUGAUUAGUUUCGGGCUAGAUAGGGAGAGAGGGUAGAUGGUUCUCAGUUGGAAAUGAAAAUAGGAGGGAUGUUUUGUUCUGGGAAAGUCAGUGCUUAGGCUGAGGCUUUUUCCAGACAAGUAUUUUGGUACCCAGAGCACAACAGAGGUAAAAUUAGGUCCUGUAGGCCAAAACUGUAAUGUCAACCUGCUGCGACCUAACUCUGCGGGUGUCUGGGUUCAGUAUCUGUCUUUGACCUCUCAGGUCUCUAAAUAUCUGGUUCAAUGCUUCUGUGUACCCUGUGCUGCCUUGCCUCAGUGAUAAGUAGGAUUGCUAGGUUCCCUAGCAAUGCUAAGUGCUGGACAGCAGCUCACGUGUGUGCAUGAAACACCAGUCAAGUUGAAACUGAAUCUCUCCCCAUAAGAAGUGAUUAAAUACAUUUUUUUGUCAUUGUCUUCUUUUUUCUUUUUCAUGUUGGUUUAGAGAGCUUUGCUUUUAUACUUCCCCGUAACACUUUAUUUUUACUUUUUAUUAUUAUUAUUAUUUCUUUUUGCAGUAAUCCUAUGAGAAUGGCCAUGGCUGUCUUCACUGAUGUGGAAGGAGGGCAGAAGCAAUGACUUCUGCACUGCUUUAAUUACAGAUCUCACUAACUGCCCUCCAAACCAGCAGGGUUUUCUUGGAGCUGUUUCUAUAAGCCAGAAUGUCCUUAUGUAACUGAUUUACACCUGAAAGGGUAAUUGCUUCCUGACUCUGCGCUUAAGUAUUUCUAAAACCCAACAGCAUCUCAUGCAGUUUCACCACACACCUCCUCCUCCCUACAAAGCUGGGCUUUCCCCACUUAGGAAAGUUUCCUGUAGCUGGAAUUGCUUGCCAACAUGAUAUAGUCAGGACCAGAAUGUCCAUCCUUCUUGAAAUAAUUGGCAAAAUCCACGCAAGCAGGCUUAAAAUGGCAGGACAGUGCACAAGAAAACACUCACAUGGGAGAUGCUCCUGCUGAACUGCCUAGUGCUGUUAUGACCCACACUUACAUGGUGCCAAAGAAGCAAUCAUAAAAGAAAAAAGCAAAACUAAUGCACCAGAAUGCCACUUUCCUGUGGCAGUCCCCAAGCAAAUUUGGCUCUGGCAAGGAUAGAAGAUAAUAACAGACCCCUGUUUGUGGGUGCACUGCUGUGGAGGUGCUGGUGCUCUAUAGUCACUUUAUGAGUGAUGUGACAGCUUCCCUGACUGAAGUAAUUCUGAGUAUUGUAACACGAGGUGUCAAGGCAGACAGCAGAAAACAUUUCAAUCCUUUUCAUUAGAACAAAGUGUUAUUCUCUUGACGGCUUUCAAAUGCAUAUUGUUUAGCUAUUAUGUGCUAACCUUGACUACCAUAUUCCAAGCACAAUAGCAAUGGGAGCUUUUUGCUUUUUUGUUUGGCUAGUGAUCAUGCUAAGAGGAUUUCUUUUUUGCAGGGUCAGUAAAUAUUCUGUUACAAAGGAAAAAAAAAAAAAAAAGAAAAAAGAAAGAAAAUUGAAAGGGUGUAUUUAUGUUACAGUAGCAGUGUCUGAGGUCUCCCCUUGUGCUUCAUAUGGCAGAGGUGGCUCUGAUGGUUCCCCAGUAUGGAUUUAUAUCCCAGUGGAACUUGUACUUCUCGUAAUCAAAGACUGUAAGUGUAUCCUGCCUGGACUGCUCAUAUUGCUGGUGAUAAGUGAUGCUAAAGUGACUGCACUGUCAGCUACUGGAAGCCUCAGGCAACAUGCAGCAGGCUACAUACAGGGCUAGCUGCCUUAACUGCUUUUGACAUUUCUUCUCUCUGACCAUGAGGUUGCUGAGAUGGGAAGAUUAAGUUGCUCGUGGAAGAAUGAGACCUGACACAGGUGUGGAUUGAAGCUUUCAGCUGAAAGAGAACACCCACGUGGGAAACUUCAGCUCCUUCAGUUAGCAUUUAACAGAAUCUGCAGCAGUUGAGAGCAGGGUCAUCCUUGCAUGUGGGCAGC